CCAGCAGACCCUUUUUUUCCAGAUAGGGCUUGUUACCUGCCUGGGGUUGAGGCCUGCUCUUACGGAAAGUGGACUUAGCAUCGUGGGGCUGACAGCUCUGGCCCUGGGUGGUAUGUAAU
ensembl:misc_RNA